rnacentral:rRNA from 1 species
AUUGAACGCUGGCGGCAUGCCUUACACAUGCAAGUCGAACGGUAACAGGUCUUCGGAUGCUGACGAGUGGCGAACGGGUGAGUAAUACAUCGGAACGUGCCUAGUAGUGGGGGAUAACUACUCGAAAGAGUGGCUAAUACCGCAUGAGAUCUACGGAUGAAAGCAGGGGAUCGCAAGACCUUGUGCUACUAGAGCGGCCGAUGGCAGCUUAGGUAGUUGGUGGGAUAAAAGCUUACCAAGCCGACGAUCUGUAGCUGGUCUGAGAGGACGAUCAGCCACACUGGGACUGAGACACGGCCCAGACUCCUACGGGAGGCAGCAGUGGGGAAUUUUGGACAGUGGGCGCAAGCCUGAUCCAGCAAUGCCGCGUGCAGGAUGAAGGCCUUCGGGUUGUAAACUGCUUUUGUACGGAACGAAAAGCCCCGGGUUAAUACCCUGGGGUCAUGACGGUACCGUAAGAAUAAGCACCGGCUAACUACGUGCCAGCCGCCGCGGUAA